CCCGCCCGGCCGUUCUCACGCCGCCGAGGGCCGGGCUGAGCCCGGGAGGGGAGCGGCGCUUCCCUUCUGCUCGGGUCCCUUCUGCCGGUUCGGACCGGCCGCCCCUUCCUCUCCGGCCUGCGGGAGACGGCGAGGUCGGGCCGCGCCCCGCGCCGCGGAAGCCGGGCCCGAACCCAGGCACGUCGGCGGCGGACGGGGCGGCAGCCUCCGGCCUGGGCUCGGGCCGAGCGGGCGGCGGCGGCGGAGCCGGAGAGGCUGCGGCCCAGCUGUGCCCGUCCCGUCCCCUUCCCGCGCCUGUGCUGUCCCGGCAGUCGGAGGAGGAGGGGAGCCGUACCGUCCCCCCGGGAGGUGUUCGGUGCCCCGGCCCACGCCUGCCUCUGUGACCGGUUUGAAGAAGACAUGGGAACAGCGAUGGUGCUGGCGCAAAGAAAUCUCUGUCAGACCUGAAGUGAGCCUGCUGAAUGCUGUAAUGACCAGUGUGUUCUUCUGUAUGGUGGUUCCUGUGACUGUACAGAAAAAAGCUCCCCUGAAGCACGGUACUCUGUGCCUUCGGUACUCUGUGCCUUCGUAGAGUGCUCACCUUUAAAAACCAGGAAAUAAAAGAGUUAAGAGAAUGCAAACUGAGGCUCUGAAAACUAAGAAAAGACUUAGCAACUCAUUCUAAUACAACCUUAACUCAGCCCCCUGAAACUGGUAAGACCCUGUCAGGGUUUGUACUGCAAUCCCAGUUACAUUCCAUUGAAUUUGCUAUUUUAAAUUAUAGCUGUAUGCACAUUAACUGCAGCAGUGUGGUUAUAAAUGCAGGACUGCUGAUCCUGACUUCUUAGGCCUCUUUUAUUCUCCCUUUUUUUUUUCUUUCUCUAAGGCAUUAGUUACAAAGAAAAGAGCAGUGGAUGAGAAAAGCUACCUGGAUCAAAGGACAGAUUGGGUACUUCACCUGUGUUCUGUGGGUUAUUUCAGCAGCAGCGGCAGGCUGUGGUCUUCUGACCAGGGCAGCAGUGAGGUGUGGUAGAGUUGUACACGGCCUUAAUGAUGAAAGCAGAACCAUGUGCUUUGCUCUGAGGGCUCUGGUGAAGUACAUUAAAAAUGAGGUAAAGGAGUAACAUUUUGCAAAAAUAUGGCUACUCCUGUUCAGAAGAUCUGACCUUUCAAACACAAGAGCUUAUAUAUGGGACGAGUUCAUGUCAGCGGAGGUUUCAGCAAGGAGUGCUGUGAGGCUGGCCCAUGGUCAGAGUGCAGCAGGCACACAGCACUUUCCAGGAGCCUCCAGCUGUCUGUGUUGUGAGCAUGCUCUCAAGGAGUUCUCCUCCCAGUCUGCACAUGUCUAGAAUUGCCCCAGCCCACCUUGCACUUGACCUUGUUGAACCUCACUAGGUACCCGUGGGUACUUUUUUCUAGCCUGUCCAGGUUCCUCUGGAUGACAUCCUUUCCUUCUUUGGACUCUGGAUUUUCUUGUUUAAAGUAAAGAACCCUCUCCUCUGUGUGCCACAUCUCAGCUUCCCUUUUGUUGCCUUUUCAUGUCUGGCAGCAGUUACCUCAGCACCAUGUCUGCACAGCACAGCACAGCAGCGUGUCAGGACACUGCACUAGUUCGUGGUACUUGGAAGCAGUAGAGUCAGGUUGUUAUAAUAGUCCACAAAGACUAAUUAACCUUGCUGAGAUAAAUGUAACAUCAACCUGCAGCAUAGGCUGGUUCUUCCUCAUCCCUCCUCGCAGUCCCAAGGGAGGAUCAUGUUCAGUGAGGAACCUGCAGAAACAGCACGGGAUUGAGCAUGGAGGCAGCAAAAGGAUUCUGAGUUGAGCAUGUGGGGCUAACACAGCAAUGGGCAAAUGGCAGGACUGAAUGUGGAACAUUUCAUUCAGCUCAUAACACUUUGACUAAAUUAUUGUUUUAUCUAUGACAAAUUACUUCAGGUUUGAGCCAGAAAAGGCCUUGGCUGGGCUGUGGUUUCUCAGGCAGAGAUAUGACAUAUCUGUUCCAUGUAAAGCAGAUGAAUGUCCAUUAUGGCUCAGAUCUCAUGGAUUCCUUAUAACUGCAGUUUAGGAUGCAUCCUCUACUAUGUGAAGGAAGGUCCAAGAUUUCCAGGUGCACAGCAGCUGCUGCUCCAACUGGAACAACUUCUGCCAAAUGAAGAUGACCUGCAUAAUAUGUAGCAUGUAAAUCUGACAGAUGGCUUAGAACAGUGAAGGCUGUUAUGGGAAAUGAAAUUGGCCAUGUCAUAUUUCAUAUAAAGGUGUAUCUAUUGACAUAAAUUGACAGAAGUCCUUUGUCUCACUCACUUCUCCAUUUAUUCGUAAUAUUCAUCUUGAUUCUCACGUCCUUCACACACCUACAUUCCAUACCUAUUUUCCUUUACUUUUUUUUUUUCAUCUUCAAACAUUGUUCACACGUUCGCUGUUCCUCAGGCACUCCUGC